rnacentral:rRNA from 1 species
AGGGAAUCUUCGGCAAUGGACGGAAGUCUGACCGAGCAACGCCGCGUGAGUGAAGAAGGUUUUCGGAUCGUAAAGCUCUGUUGUAAGAGAAGAACGGGUGUGAGAGUGGAAAGUUCACACUGUGACGGUAUCUUACCAGAAAGGGACGGCUAACUACGUGCCAGCAGCCGCGGUAAUACGUAGGUCCCGAGCGUUGUCCGGAUUUAUUGGGCGUAAAGCGAGCGCAGGCGGUUAGAUAAGUCUGAAGUUAAAGGCUGUGGCUUAACCAUAGUACGCUUUGGAAACUGUUUAACUUGAGUGCAAGAGGGGAGAGUGGAAUUCCAUGUGUAGCGGUGAAAUGCGUAGAUAUAUGGAGGAACACCGGUGGCGAAAGCGGCUCUCUGGCUUGUAACUGACGCUGAGGCUCGAAAGCGUGGGGAGCAAACAGGAUUAGAUACCCUGGUAGUCCACGCCGUAAACGAUGAGUGCUAGGUGUUAGACCCUUUCCGGGGUUUAGUGCCGUAGCUAACGCAUUAAGCACUCCGCCUGGGGAGUACGACCGCAAGGUUG